GAAAUUAGGUAGUAUCUAAAGAUUUUUAAUGAAUUUAUAAUUGAAUUUUUUUAUAAAGAUAGUUAAAGAUAUAAGAUAACUUAUAGAGAAGUUUAAAUUUAAUUAUACAAAUAGAUUAGAAGUUACAAGAUUAUAUAUAUUUAGAAGGAAUUUCUAUAAAAAUAGAAGUGAUUUUAGAAUAUCUAAUCAUAUCUUAGAAAUUCUUGUGUAUCAUAGACUUGUAUAAUUGAAGUAAAUAACUUCAUGGAAAUAAUCUAUAAAUAAAAUUUGUAUUUUAUAAACUUACAAUUUCUUUGAGUAAUUAAUAGUAGUCAAAGGCCUAAUACUUUUUUUGAGGCAAACUCUUUCUUUUAUGGCAUUUGGUACUUCCAUUGAGAGA
rnacentral:lncRNA from 1 species